rnacentral:rRNA from 1 species
CAGCAGCCGCGGUAAUACGAAGGGUGCAAGCGUUAAUCGGUAUUACUGGGCGUAAAGCGUGCGUAGGCGGUUUGUUAAGUCUGUUGUGAAAUCCCCGGGCUCAACCUGGGAAUGGCAAUGGAUACUGGCAAGCUAGAGUGUGUCAGAGGAUGGUGGAAUUCCCGGUGUAGCGGUGAAAUGCGUAGAGAUCGGGAGGAACAUCAGUGGCGAAGGCGGCCAUCUGGGACAACACUGACGCUGAGGCACGAAAGCGUGGGGAGCAAACAGGAUUAGAUACCCGGGUAGUCCCUGUCUCUUAUAA